UUAUAAUCAGUAUGUGAUUUCAACUUUGGAUCUGGUGUAUUCGAGAAAUGAGCUUGGCUAUGUGAAAAAACAGAGCUUGGAGUUAGUGUGACAAAAAUUAGGAAGCAAAUGAUUUAACUAUAUAUAGUAUUAAAUUACUAUUUUUUUUAUUUGUUAAACAAUAUUUGGUAUAAUUUUAUUUGUAUAUUUUAAAGUUAACAUUAUUUGGGGUGAAUUGUGUUUAGAAGUAUUUUAAUUUGAGGUUAAUUGUAUUCAGAAGUAUUUUAAUUUGAGGUUAAUUAUAUUUAGAAAUAUUUAAUUUUUUAGUAAGUCAAACCGUAUCUGAAUACAGUCAAACCAUAUAAAACCAAGCAUGUUGCUAGCAGGGUCAGGUAUUCCAGUCAAUUUCUGCAGGAAAAUAAUUUUGAGGUCGACAUUGUAUGCAAUUUAGAUAGGACAAUUAUGCAUAUUGGGUACUAUGACGUUGUUUCUAUAACUAGAAAAUGAAAAAGGAAAAAUACAAAUUUCCAGUGCUUUUAUAAUGUUUAUUUUUCUAUUUUCUAUGCAGUAGAUAGGGUUGACAAUAUCAACAAGGAAAAGCCUUAAAAGAUUUUCAUUAAGCGGAGAGACUACUAGAAACAGCUAGAAAUGCUUCUAAACAGAAUAACUCAUAUUAUGAUUAUUAACAUUCAGCAUAUUGAUGUUCCAGCACCAAUGAUAAAUGCCAGAGUAAGAAAAUUAAUACAAUACAAGAUUGACAUCAUUUUGUGUGAACCAUCCAAAGAAAAUUGAUACCAUACAUGAAACAGGGUAUGCAAAUUUAAGAAAAUGUUCAGGUUUGAAGUUCCGUAGUGGCACAAGUAGACCAAGGAGAAUUGAUGUAUGUGAUUGAUUGACUAAUCCCAGAAAUAAGUAUAUAAUGGAAUAAGGUAAUAAUUGGUGAUAGAGAAUAACUUCAGAAAACUGAGACUCCAGACCAGAAAAUUCUCAAGAAGGUCAAAUGUUUCUCUUUUGUACACAACUGAUAUCUUAAUUGGAGUGUAGAUCCCCUUUUCUGCACAUAUCAAUACUUGGGAUUUAUUCUAGUACUAUCUCCGCUUUUAUUAAUAGUAUUGAGAUGUAAAUUCCUUUUUUUUGGGUCCAAUUGAAUGGAAGCUAUACUCUACAAGGUUAAGCUAUGCAUGUCACCAGUUCAUAGUGGUACCUUACCAUCAUAGUGUUACCAGUUCCCACAUUGGCAGAGAAGCCAAUUAAGCUGCAAACAGAUUGUAAUUACUGAUAGGCAAAAUGCAUGUUGCAACUUGGAAGCAUAAAAUAUUGCAUUGUCAACAAGAGAGUAGACAAAGACAUCAUCUAUAAUAAUUGGGGGUUCUGCAGUUCUUAUGCAGAUUACAUUACCUUAGGGACAUUUUAUUAAGGGCAAAAAGAGAAAACUCAUUAAAGAAAAAAAAAAGAUUAAAAAAAUAAUAUAAUUUUCAACAUUAUUUUCUUUUUCUUCCAACAUACUUGCUAUAGCCAGUUAGCCACCCUAAAUUAACCACGAUUCACAGGAAUCAAGCAUAAAUAACACGAGAUUACACUACCUCCAAUACAACGAACAAAUAAGAAGAAAUCAAAAUAAUCUAUAGAAUCAUGGCUUGUGUGAAGAAAAAACUAAAAAGACUUGAAUCACGCUAUCAUAAAUAAAACUUUGAUCAAUUAACUAUAUACUCAUAAUGAAAAGAUUAGCCUAAAUCCUAAUGCUGCAUAAUCUAAAGAGAGACACAAGAAGUUUUGAAUCACCAAGUAAAAUGCAACUACUAUAGCCAACAAGUAUAUUCAACUUAAUCUAUACCAAUUGGAAUAUUAAUCAAGCUUAUUGCAUUGAGUGUUAUAUGUGACAUAUAUGACGACAAAUUCAUGUCGAUACUAAAUACUACAUAUGUGGAUGCAUCGCUCGUAAAUAAGGAGCCCACAUAUUGUUUUUCUAUUUUAUCCUUAUUGGUGGUGAAGUCUGAUCUGAAUUUUAAUUUAGAGGUGAUCGUAAAGCUACCCAAAAGGUAGUUUUGUACUUUCGGAUUGAUUUAGGGCUUUUUAUGUUGUGUUAUAUUUGGAGGGGAUCAUGCAAUCGUAAGAUAUAUGAAAUUUCCAAAAUAUAGUGAAACUGAUCAGUCACUGUGUGAUUGUUUUUUUUAGAUUUUCUCUUUGUUAUUGUUUUCGCUCGUUGUUAUUCUCUAACAUUUAUCACCUACAUUUUUUCAUUCCUUGCAGUUCACAUUCAAUUAAAAUUAGAACACAAAAAUCAUUUUCCUAUUUCAUUUAAUCUACUUUAACUGACUAAUCAAUGAAAACCAAAAGCUAAUUAAAAAUUAAAAAGGACCCAUUACAUUUGUACAUACAUAUACAAUAUACAGUAUAUAAAAAUAAAUCAAAGUAAAUUACCUCGAAUAAAUAUGUAUCAAGUAUGAAGCGUACAAAGGGGAAGAACAGAAUAAACAAGGAAAGGCCCAGAAAUCUUGGUGAGCAGGGAAAGACUCCGAUUCCCAAUUGAUGGAAGCUAUGGAUUUCGACAAUAAACCAAUAAAAUUUCAGCAGAAAUUCGGCAAAAUUAAGAUUCUUUGAGGAGAAGAGAAAGUCUGGGGUGGGUUUUUGACGGAGAGGUGUAAGAAUCAAUUUUGGCGGUUGGACUGGAGGAUUAAAAUAAGUUCAGUCAUCAGUUGGAAAUGUGACAGCUGUUUUACAAUUUAGGCACUUAUUAUUA
rnacentral:lncRNA from 1 species